rnacentral:other from 1 species
CGGUUUCUGCUCUUCGCGUGAUGGGUCCCAUUCCGGUGGCCUAUAAGUAUUCCGAGGGAGCUGGCUCUGUUCGGACCCUGGUCCGGGUACCUGGCGCCCACCUGCAUUAGCGGGUCCUCGGGAAUGCAACACCCACACGGAUGCUACGGAUUCCGC